UACGGAGGAGGCAAGCGUUAUCCGGAAUUAUUGGGCGUAAAGCGUCCGCAGGUGGCAGUUCAAGUCUGCUGUCAAAGACCGGGGCUUAACUUCGGAAAGGCAGUGGAAACUGAACAGCUAGAGUAUGGUAGGGGCAGAGGGAAUUCCUGGUGUAGCGGUGAAAUGCGUAGAGAUCAGGAAGAACAUCGGUGGCGAAGGCGCUCUGCUGGACCAUAACUGACGCUGAGGAGCGAAAGCAUGGGGAGCGAACAGG
rnacentral:rRNA from 1 species